rnacentral:lncRNA from 1 species
CAGUGUCCACACCAUGGUGCAUAGAAUUCAAGCAAGACUGCAAAUAAACAAAGAGGAAAGAAAAUUCAUUUGUAAGUUUUCUUUGCUACCAGCGAAAAGGUUUUUUGAGAUUUGAUAAUGUGAUGUGACUCACCGUUCUUUCCAGAGUUGAAGACCAUCUCGUCAAGGCUCUCAGCAACAACAACCUUUACAGGCUCGUUGUUUUCGGUUGGGAUGGGUUGAGAUUUUUUGUGUGCGGCAACUUUUCCAUCCUUGAAGUCCUUGACCCACGAUUCAAUCUGGUCAAUCUCAAUGUUUGUUUUCAGAUACUUCUUGUCGUCAGUAGUCUGGAUGAUGAUGAGAGGAACUUGGCUCUCUUCAAGUCCAAAGUACUGUUAUUUGUUCAGAAAAAAGAUAGUAAUCUGCUUAGCAUUUUGUAACUAACACGGGAUGAAACCACUAGGAGGCAGAGAGAUAGUCGAGGUAAGACUAACCUGGAAUGCGCCUUGGCUGUUCUCAGCAUCACCGAGAAGGAAGCUAAGACCCUGUCCUUUGUAGGAUGUAGCAACUUCACGGUACUUUGAUUUAAGAGACUCAGCUCCUUCUCCGGUAAAGUUAAUGAACAACAUCGCCUGAAACACAAAAUAUUACCCACAAUCAAAACCACCACAAGGUUGGAAACUAUAGGAUCAAUGAGAAACCUUAGUAAUAAGACUCAAAAACAAACUAUAGACGCUACUAUCUAAAUUCAGCUAAUAUGGACGCUAUCACAAUUAACUUCUAUGCAUUAGCUCAUUUCAGUUAAUAUACAAAUCAAACAAUCCUUAUCCACUAAAAAUAAAAGGCAUACAUAAAAUCCGUCUUUCUGGUUUAUCAUGAUCUUUGUUACAGCAUGAUGGGAUUUAAAACAAUGAGUUACCUUAGUGUUGGAGCUGUCAAAGAAUUUGAUAACAUAUGGGUGGUUGUUUGGAUCCUUGUCAAAGACGGUGAUAAGCGGAAUGCUUGAUUCUUUGACAAAUUUCUCCAAAGCUUCUCCAUCAAAAUCCUGGAUUGCAACAGAAGAAAAAAUCAAACAAACAGGACCACCUAUCUAUGUCAUAAACAAAGUGAAAAUCUUUUUCUCUUGUACCUUGGAAUCAACAAACAGUUCAUCGAAUGGUUUGAACAGCCUGACAACCGGUCCUGUCACAGCCUCUCCGCGAGGAAGAAGCUUGGCAUCCGAGGUGUGUGCGAAGUCAUAGUCAGAGCGCAGUUUCUCAGCAGUAGCCAAGAAAGAAUCAAACUCGGAGCCAGAUAGUUUAGGGAAAACACCAACCUAAAACAAGAGAACGUGCCAUUAAUAAUAAAACAGAGACACAAAAAAAACGAAAAGGAAUAUGUUUGUGACACACUUACCACAAUAACCUUCUUGUCAAACUCAGAAGCAUCCUCAGCUGCCUUGAUCUCAAACGAAGCAGGCCCGCUUUGUUUCUUCAAAUAAGUAACAAUCCCGUCAGCUUCACGAGGCCCGUUGUAUUCCUGAACAGCUUUCCCUCCGUUUCUAAAGAUCUUGAUCGUCGGGAAGCCCUGAACCUCGUACUGAGUCGCAAACUCUCUGUUGGUCUCCUCGCUCGCAUCAAUCUUAGCGAGUACCACCGGAGGCACGUGACUGCUCAACUCUGACGCAGCCUUCUCGUACUGUUAAAACAAACACAAUCUGAGUGGCUAUUCAAAAGACAUGCUAAGCCUAAAUCACGUGACUGAAAAGCCAUAUGUUUACCUCAGGAGCUAGCUGCUUGCAGUGUCCACACCUGCAAGAUCCAAUGAUCGAAUGCAAGAUUAAGAUCCAAUACAAAGACGCGUCAAUUACAGAUUCAAUCAUUCAAAUUCCACAACUAGAACCAAAAUAUCUCCCUAAUAAACCAGAUCAGCUACACAAUAGAUCGGAGAAGGAAUCAUUCGCAUGCAAUUCAAAUGAUUCAAAUUCAGAUCCAUCAGAUUCACGAAUCAAUAUCACAAGCAAAUCUCACGACUGCUACUACUACUACACUACAGUACUACUAACGAUAAACGUUUGAAUCAUUUAAAAAUCAAAUACCAAGGGGCGUAGAACUCGACGACGAUGAAAUCGUGCUUGUUGAUGGUAUCGGUGAAGUUAGUGUGAUCCAAGGUCAACACGAACUCCUUCGUCGUCUCCGUCGCAGUCUCCUCGCUUCUCACGGAGGAAGCGAGCAGCGACAACGCAAGGAUCGAGAACAACGCGUAUCCCCUCAUCGCCAUUAUCUCUCUCUCUCUCACACUAAGCUUCGUUUGGAAAUUAUUAUGUAAGCUCUAAGGGGGAAGCUUUGGGAGAUAUUUAUCAGCUCGUUUCACACAGGGAAAACUCAAUGCUAAAUGGUCAAGUUACCACGUGGCGUUCACUCAUUGGAUAUAACGUCGUCAUAGUUUGGCAAGAACUUAUGUGUAUUAAUACGGUGAUUUGACGAUAUUGACCUUGGCGGUUAUAUAAAAAUAUUGUGUCCGUGACUUCGUGAAAGUAAAUGGUCGAUAUAAAAUAAUGCAUUUAGAUCCUCGAGGAUGGGGCGACGAAGUUGAGGCUGGCGACACGUGGCGGGCGGAUGAGCCAGAUUCUUACACGUGUUCUGCUCCGUUUCCUUCUUGCGCGUCCAGAGCAAGCCCGGUGUAGCGUUUGUGGGCCUUGGGCCAUGUUUCUUAUUUGGGCUUCGACCGUUUUUUUGAUGUCCAUCUCAUAUUUGGGUUUUUCAUCAAACUCAGAUCAGGAUUUCCCACCUCUUCUUGUCAUGUGGCAUCUUCCAAGGUCGAAGGAACCAAAGUGAGAAAACAUGGCUGGAUGGUGAGGACCUUAACCAGAAGAAAAUCCAGGAAAAGUAAAACUUGAGUUUUUGUUUUCAUAUAUUUAUUUAUUAAACUUAGACAAAUAUGUUGAUGCUUUUGUUUAAAGAAGAAAUAUAUGUUGAAGUUUUUUUUGUAAGUAAUGAUAACAUGGAUUGAAAAACGACUGCAAAAAUCCAUAAAUUAAAUUGUUAAAAUUUAUUAUAUUUUGUAAAAUUAGGUAUAUCACAUAUAAUGUUUUGGUUUUAAAUGAGUAAUUUACAUAUAAUAUACAUAUAAAUUUAUCCAAAAAAAAUUACAUAUAAUGUGUUGGCAUGUGGUCUAAGAUGUAUAUGUUUAUGUAUGUGUGUGUAAAAGGGACAAGAGGUUUGCCCUUUAGGCCUUUACCAUACUUCUUUGUUGGCAUGUGGUCUAAGAUAAAGUCAUUAAGAAGGGAGAAGGGUCAAACUAGCCUUUUAUCGUUAUUUCUACAUUACAAAAGAGAAAGUGUGUGAAGAAAAAAGAAAAGAAAAAGUAAGGUAAAGAUAUAGAGAAAAAAAUACAAAAGCGGGUUGCUUUAAAAUAAAUAAUUUUGCAUGGGACUCUUGGAAAAUUUCUAUGACUUUUAGUGCUCACUUAAUUACCUUUUUCCUUAUUUUAUAAAGAAAAUAAAUGAGGAUAGUACAAAUUAUAAUGUAAUAAGAUAGUCCAUGUUAGGUUGUUCACAAUAGUGGGAAACAUUGUAGCACAAAAAGAUGGACCCAAAACAUUACCCCAUUCACAUUGUCUUGUAGCUGUCUCUUUUGUGUACAUUGUAAGUUUCCAAAUCCUAAUUCAAUACUCCUUCUGUUCCUUAUAGAUCCAUUUUUUAGAAAAAAAAUUUGUUUCAAAAAGAUACAUUUUUUUACAUGUUCAAAACAUUAAUUAAUGAAAAAUUGUACUUUUCAAAAAAUACAAUUGUGUUUAAUAAAAUCUCAUUGGUUAAAAAUUAUUGGAAAUAGUUAAUUAAGAAAAACAAUGUAUUAGAAAAUACAAUUUUAAAUAUUUUUUUAAUAAGUGUGGAAAAACUAUAACAUAGAUCUUUUAGGAACAGAGUGAGUAGUUUUUUGUGAUAAAUAUUAUGUUGGAAAUUGUUGAGAUAGUUACAGAACAUCGCAUUAUGCUGGAGAAUGGUCAUGUUAUAUGCAUCUAAAUUUUACCAAAGUUCAAAUAGAUUCGAAAUGAAAUAGGUGGAAAUGUAAAAUCAAUAGUAGUUGAUUCUUGACAAUGCUGAUUUUGAUGUAUGAUCUUUAUUGAUUGUUUGACGUGACCAUUCAAAGAAAAAGUUGCUUUAGUUUUUUCUAAGUUCAACAAGCUUAGGAAAGCAAUGUGACUAUGUGGUAAGACAUGAUGCGAAAGAAAACCUAAUUCUUAGGUUGAUUGAACGACGGGAGGACAUUUGUUUGUUUUGUUUACUUUUGUCUACUUUCUUUUCGUCCUUUUUGACCUUUUCAUAUUUUGUAUCAAAGUAUUAUAAAAAAUAUCGAGUAGAUUAAUUAGCUGGAUGUCAAGUAACUGAAUGUUUUUAUUUUGGUCAGUAGGAGCACCUUUCAUUCAAAUCGAAACUUAAAACAAGUUAUAGUAAACCACGUAAGAAGUCAGGAUGUCAUGCUAUCGUUUUGGUCAGGACUCAGUCAGAAGUACGUUUUUUGGUUAAGAUGAUAUGCCAUCGGUUGGGACCUAUGCGAUUUUAUAGCACAUGUGGAAUGUUGAUAUUUAUGAAUGAAAAUUUUAUAAGUUUUUUAAAAUUUCGUAAAUUUGGGUUUUCAUUUGUCGAGAGCGUUGGCUGUAGGGUUAAACGGGACCAUUUUCAUAGAUGAUCGUAUUCAAAACUAGGAGCAGGACCACGCACCUUUAUUUUUUUACCUAACUUAUUGAUUUGGAACAAUUAAAUGAAAAUUUUAAGAAAAUUAUUAUCCCCAAUUGAUUGAUCCAAUAAAACCUUUCAAUUAAUUAGCGCGCACACAAAAGUAUUGGGAAAUUUCAUAUGAUGGCCAAGACAAGGAUCGUUGAUCAGGAGUCAAGACGUGAACUCCACUGCUCUGUAUAUAUGGACACAAACAGAUAUCACAUAAACGGAUCAUAUAAUACUAUAUAUAGGGGGGGGGAGGGGGGUUAGUUAAAAUGUUUUGGAUAAUUAACAUGUUACAAAGUUAUAUCCUAUUGAAUGGUAAUGCAUGUUUCUAUUAUAUAUUUAAACGUUUAGUCAUUGAUUAACGAGUGACAAGAACAUGUGGGAUUCAAAUUUCAAAGUCUUGAACUACUGAACAUGACGUCUAUACUUAAUACCUAGAAGAGCUACUUCAACUACAACACGUCUCCAGUUUAUUAUCUGACGAUAUAUGCAUAUUUGUACUUAUUUCACUAAAAUACUCGAUUUGCCUUUAUUUGUUAUCGUACUCGGUUUUGGAGAAACAAUCAUAUAGGAUUGCUAAGGGUACUUUUGCUGCAGCUAUUUCUAGCCUGAUAAUCUUGUUUAUCCUCAACUCUUUCAUCUGCUCUGUUUCAAAACGGAAAUACAAAGAUGUUGUCAGUCCCUUUUAGUGGCAUGUUAUGAAGUACCAAAGGUUUCAUUAUUAGGUUGUGCUCAUUCUUGGUCGAGUUUAGUGGAUAGUUAGUUUAGUGCUACUGUAUUUUGAGAGUGGCUUGGAUGCAAGAAAACUGUGAAGCCGAUAAGCGAAGUCACCUCUUGGUUUUAUAUGUUUCCAAAAGUCCAUAAUGCAUUGUUGGUUUUUUGUUUUCUUGAGUGUUAUGCUCCUUUCAAUAUUGUUUCCCAUAGACCUUUUGAGUUUCUUAGGAGGGAGAUGGUUAUAGUGUUUUGAGGGAUCUAACAUGUUUCUUUUUCUCUUCAUCGGAUCCUUUUGAGUUUGUGAUGUGAUGAUUAGUAAUACUGUGAUCUUGGAAUCAGCAAUGGUUUCUAACGAUGAGCUUGUGAAACAACAUGCUAAAGUUGCAGAAGAUGCUGUUACGGCCAGUAUCUUACUGCUAAGUUUACACCAAAAAAAAUGAAAAACUUACUGCUAAGUCUAUUUCCUUUGGAAUACUUUUUCCUGGUGGAAACCAUUUCUGUUGUGGUUUUUCAAGGAUGGGAGAAAGCCGAGAAUGAAGUGGUUGAGCUGAAUCAGAAGCUCGAGGAUGCAGGCAUGCCGCAUGCAGGCAAGGAGAAAAUUGUGUUACAAGAUAGGGUUAAGUCAUCUCAAUGGGGAAGUAGUGUGUUAGACAAGUAACGCAAUCAAGAGAUGAAACAAGAAAAGCAGAAUCAAGAAGCUAUGACUGAAAAAACCAAAGGGGUUCUUAGAAACUCGGUCCCAAGACUUGCCACAAACUAAUAACAUUAAAAGAGAACUGACUUCAAAAAGGAAAAAAUUGACAAAAACAAAAGAAAACAGGCAAAGCCAUUAUUGUUUUAGCAGAGUGCAUGUAAAAACUCUAACGAAUACAGACACCUUCUCUCUCUCUACUGUGUAUUUUCCUCAAAACUACCAAACUAGGCUAGCAGCUAAGAGACGGAACACACUUCUCCUUUUCAGAGCUCGUCCUUAACGGCCUCAGUUGUCGUUUCCUCCUUCUUAGGCUCUCCAGCGGUGUCCUUGUUCUUGUCGAUGAAGCUUAUGAUGUCUUCCUUUGUCCUGUCUCCAUCGUAAAGCACAAUGUUUCCGCUCGCUGAUCUCAAGUAAAUGGUUGGGAAGCCCUUCACAUCGAAGGUGUCAUUUGGGAAGUCGUUUGCGGUUGCGUCCUGGACAAGCCAAAGUGUUAGAAUAAAACCGCAGAUGAUCAACCAACAAACUCUACAUGUGAAAAAGAAAAAAAAAUGACUUACGAGCUUGGCUAUGACAACACUUGGGUCGCUUUGGUAUGACACAGCGACUUCGUCCAAGAUGGGAACUAGCUUUUGGCAGUGUCCACACCAUGGUGCAUAGAAUUCAAGCAAGACUGCAAAUAAACAAAGAGGAAAGAAAAUUCAUUUGUAAGUUUUCUUUGCUACCAGCGAAAAGGUUUUUUGAGAUUUGAUAAUGUGAUGUGACUCACCGUUCUUUCCAGAGUUGAAGACCAUCUCGUCAAGGCUCUCAGCAACAACAACCUUUACAGGCUCGUUGUUUUCGGUUGGGAUGGGUUGAGAUUUUUUGUGUGCGGCAACUUUUCCAUCCUUGAAGUCCUUGACCCACGAUUCAAUCUGGUUAAUCUCAAUGUUUGUUUUCAGAUACUUCUUGUCGUCAGUAGUCUGGAUGAUGAUGAGAGGAACUUGGCUCUCUUCAAGUCCAAAGUACUGUUAUUUGUUCAGAAAAAAGAUAGUAAUCUGCUUAGCAUUUUGUAACUAACACGGGAUGAAACCACUAGGAGGCAGAGAGAUAGUCGAGGUAAGACUAACCUGGAAUGCGCCUUGGCUGUUCUCAGCAUCACCGAGAAGGAAGCUAAGACCCUGUCCUUUGUAGGAUGUAGCAACUUCACGGUACUUUGAUUUAAGCGACUCAGCUCCUUCUCCGGUGAAGUUAAUGAACAACAUCGCCUGAAAAUCAAAAUAUUACCCACCAUCAAAACCACCACAAGGUUGGAAACUAUAGGAUCAAUCAGAAACCUUAGUAAUAAGACUCAAAAAAAAACUAUAGACGCUACUAUCUAAAUUCAGCUAAUAUGGACGCUAUCACAAUUAACUUCUAUGCAUUAGCUCAUUUCAGUUAAUAUACAAAUCAAACAAUCCUUAUCCACUAAAAAUAAAAGGCAUACAUAAAAUCCGUCUUUCUGGUUUAUCAUGAUCUUUGUUACAGCAUGAUGGGAUUUAAAACAAUGAGUUACCUUAGUGUUGGAGCUGUCAAAGAAUUUGAUAACAUAUGGGUGGUUGUUUGGAUCCUUGUCAAAGACGGUGAUAAGCGGAAUGCUUGAUUCUUUGACAAAUUUCUCCAAAGCUUCUCCAUCAAAAUCCUGGAUUGCAACAGAAGAAAAAAUCAAACAAACAGGACCACCUAUCUAUGUCAUAAACAAAGUGAAAAUCUUUUUCUCUUGUACCUUGGAAUCAACAAACAGUUCAUCGAAUGGUUUGAACAGCCUGACAACCGGUCCUGUCACAGCCUCUCCGCGAGGAAGAAGCUUGGCAUCCGAGGUGUGUGCGAAGUCAUAGUCAGAGCGCAGUUUCUCAGCAGUAGCCAAGAAAGAAUCAAACUCGGAGCCAGAUAGUUUAGGGAAAACACCAACCUAAAACAAGAGAACGUGCCAUUAAUAAUAAAACAGAGACACAAAAAAAACGAAAAGGAAUAUGUUUGUGACACACUUACCACAAUAACCUUCUUGUCAAACUCAGAAGCAUCCUCAGCUGCCUUGAUCUCAAACGAAGCAGGCCCGCUUUGUUUCUUCAAAUAAGUAACAAUCCCGUCAGCUUCACGAGGCCCGUUGUAUUCCUGAACAGCUUUCCCUCCGUUUCUAAAGAUCUUGAUCGUCGGGAAGCCCUGAACCUCGUACUGAGUCGCAAACUCUCUGUUGGUCUCCUCGCUCGCAUCAAUCUUAGCGAGUACCACCGGAGGCACGUGACUGCUCAACUCUGACGCAGCCUUCUCGUACUGUUAAAACAAACACAAUCUGAGUGGCUAUUCAAAAGACAUGCUAAGCCUAAAUCACGUGACUGAAAAGCCAUAUGUUUACCUCAGGAGCUAGCUGCUUGCAGUGUCCACACCUGCAAGAUCCAAUGAUCGAAUGCAAGAUUAAGAUCCAAUACAAAGACGCGUCAAUUACAGAUUCAAUCAUUCAAAUUCCACAACUAGAACCAAAAUAUCUCCCUAAUAAACCAGAUCAGCUACACAAUAGAUCGGAGAAGGAAUCAUUCGCAUGCAAUUCAAAUGAUUCAAAUUCAGAUCCAUCAGAUUCACGAAUCAAUAUCACAAGCAAAUCUCACGACUGCUACUACUACUACACUACAGUACUACUAACGAUAAACGUUUGAAUCAUUUAAAAAUCAAAUACCAAGGGGCGUAGAACUCGACGACGAUGAAAUCGUGCUUGUUGAUGGUAUCGGUGAAGUUAGUGUGAUCCAAGGUCAACACGAACUCCUUCGUCGUCUCCGUCGCAGUCUCCUCGCUUCUCACGGAGGAAGCGAGCAGCGACAACGCAAGGAUCGAGAACAACGCGUAUCCCCUCAUCGCCAUUAUCUCUCUCUCUCUCACACUAAGCUUCGUU